GACAGAGGUGCCGAGCGUUAGGCGGAAUCACUGGGCUUAAAGCGUGUGUAGGCGGGCGGGCAAGUACCUUGUGAAAUCCCACGGCUCAACCGUGGAACGGCUGGGUAUACUGCCUGUCUUGAGCCAACUAGGGGCGAGCGGAACAGACGGUGGAGCGGUGAAAUGCGUAGAUAUCGUCUGGAACGCCAAAGGUGAAAACAGUCUGCUGGGGAUUUGCUGACGCUGAGACACGAAAGCCAGGGGAGCGAACGGG
rnacentral:rRNA from 1 species